rnacentral:lncRNA from 1 species
CUUCUCUCUAUUUGCUCUUGUUUUUGAGUUAUUGUUCUUGUCUUUUAUAUUAUUUCAUAACAUUUUCAACAUUUUUUACCCUAUUCCUCAUCCUUACCAAUCUCCGCCAACCCAACCCCACGGGUUGAGAUUCCCUCUUCUUUCCUUCAGUAUUUUUCAGUGGGGGUGCAGGAUGCUGCCACGCAUCAACAAAAAUUUGAAAGGCCAGUAUCAGCAAACAAGAAACAGAAGAAUCAUUGUAAAACUGAGAGCGGCAUCAAAAUUCAAGUCUUUAGUUUCAACAUGAAAUCUUGAAAUAAGUUAUAUGGGUUAUGUAGCCAGCGUCGGAAGUUCAUGAAGUGGAGUUCAGAAAAGAAUUAUUGUAUGAUAUGUUUUUAUUUUUCUCUG